rnacentral:lncRNA from 1 species
AAGAUGGAGAAACGGACUUGUACGCAGAUUUUGUAGAAUUUGUCGGCAACGAGAGCAAGUAUUCAAGAGGAGAGGAAGUUUCACAUUACAGAAGCCCAAGAAAAUUCAUCAAAGCAGAGGUGCUGAUGAGUGGUGAAGUGAUGGACAUGGAAGAGCUCUCAGAGGCCGAAUGCGAUAGAGAUAGGCUUCGAUACCAUAUGUCAAAUCAAAACACCCUUGCGAGGAGUCAACAGGAUCAGUCAUCAUAUAAGCAUUUCACCGAGGUGUUUUGAACUUUGCCGCCGCUGCCUUGUUUUAUACAGUGUUAAAUCGAAAAAGAAAGACCAACUCUAAGCGGUCUGCAUCGCCUUAGAAGACCAUUGCAUCGGUGUGAAAUACUGUCAUGAUAGUGAGACAUCAUAGAUAUGCAUCUGAAUAACGCAUAAAUGUACUACGACUGUCCUUUAUGCGACAGCUCUCUGUUUAGGAAUCACCCAUAACAGCAUACAAAAAAUGAAGUUCUCCCCGCUUACAUUGCGCUAGACGCGCCUUUAGCCAGCUGGAGUUAUGUUUGGCACAAUCUAAUAAACAUUCCCAAUAAUUUGACGUAUAGACUAUGUGGGAGACAAGAUAUUUCUCAGGAAACACGGAGAAGCAUUGAAAAGGCGCAUCGCUAAUUCGAAGUAUAACAGUUGCGAAAGAUCGGCUUCCAAGCGCAAAGUCAGGCUCGUUCACUGCGUGAACUCGGAAACGCGCCAUAUGUACAAAUUUUCAUAUGCGAUUGGCCUAGGAAGACGCCUUUACUGCUAACGAAAGACAAGUACAGCGAGAAAAAACAGGAACGAUAAGGGCGCUGUCCUCACCUUUCUUUGGCGGUAACCAUGUCGUGCAGUAAAUACCAACUUGGCCAACUUGAAGUUCUUCUGAAGGCCUCGGAAGAGGCUGGCUGUACAGUUGAAGAACCACGAAAGGUGGCACUGUGCCAGCUUCUACAGCGCGUAAACAAUGCUUCCGUCAUCAACCGGACCUGAAGCGCGUAAGAAGCGCAAGUGAUCUGCUAGAUGGUUCCCUCUAAGAAUUACCUACACUGCAUUUCUUUCUUGCCUUAAAUAUUGGCUAAAGAGUCCCUGUAACACUUCUUCUUCCAAACUGAAGAACACACUGGAAUGCGUUCGGUGUACACCCGUGCAAUCUUUUAUUUUCCUUCUUUUUUUUUUUUUUUUUGAUAUCGCCCGAGCGUCGACCGCAAGGCGUGUCAGCGGUCUUGUGGCGGCUAGGGGUGCCGGGAUCGCCAACAGUAUAUACAGCACGCAAGGCGAUUUCCAGUGCAAAUGUCAUCUGCUGAGACCAGAUUAUAGGCAAAUGCCUGUUUGUUCUCGCGUGCCACGGUCACUACCUUCUAAUGUAUGAGCACAAAUUAUAAGCUAAGAGGUGGCUUGUCACUGACUUUAUAGUGCCUAUAAAUUCCAACUUCCGUCAUUUCCGUCUAUAAAUGCCUGUUGCUGUGUUUAGCAACCGAAAAUGA